rnacentral:rRNA from 1 species
UACGAAGAGGACUAGCGUUGUUCGGAAUCACUGGGCGUAAAGCGCACGUAGGCGGAUGUGUCAGUCAGGGGUGAAAUCCCGGGGCUCAACCUCGGAACUGCCUUUGAUACAGCACGUCUCGAGUCCGGAAGAGGUGGGUGGAAUUCCUAGUGUAGAGGUGAAAUUCGUAGAUAUUAGGAAGAACACCGGUGGCGAAGGCGGCCCAACUGGUCCGGUACUGACGCUGAGGUGCGAAAGCGUGGGGAGGCAAACAGGAUUGAGAAACCCCG